rnacentral:rRNA from 1 species
UACGAAGGGGGCUAGCGUUGUUCGGAUUUACUGGGCGUAAAGCGCACGUAGGCGGAUUGUUAAGUUAGAGGUGAAAUCCCGGAGCUCAACUCCGGAACUGCCUUUAAUACUGGCAAUCUCGAGUCCGGAAGAGGUAAGUGGAGCUCCUAGUGUAGAGGUGGAAUUCGUAGAUAUUAGGAAGAACACCAGUGGCGAAGGCGGCUUACUGGUCCGGUACUGACGCUGAGGUGCGAAAGCGUGGGGAGCAAACAGG